UACGUAGGCAGCAAGCGUUGUUCGGAGUUACUGGGCGUAAAGGGCGUGUAGGCGGUUCUUUAAGUCUGCUGUGAAAUCUCCCGGCUUAACCGGGAGGGUGCGGUGAAUACUGAGGGACUAGAGUACGGGAGAGGAAAGUGGAAUUCCUGGUGUAGCGGUGAAAUGCGUAGAUAUCAGGAGGAACACCGGUGGUGUAGGCGGCUUUCUGGACCGGCACUGACGCUGAGACACGAAAGCGUGGGUAGCAAACAGG
rnacentral:rRNA from 1 species